rnacentral:rRNA from 1 species
UACGUAGGGAGCAAGCGUUGUCCGGAAUCAUUGGGCGUAAAGCGCGCGUAGGCGGCCCGGUAAGUCCGCUGUGAAAGUCGGGGGCUCAACCCUCGAAUGCCGGUGGAUACUGUCGGGCUAGAGUGCGGAAGAGGCGAGUGGAAUUCCUGGUGUAGCGGUGAAAUGCGUAGAUAUCGGGAGGAACACCUGUGGCGAAAGCGGCGCACUGGACCACAUCUGACGCUGAGGCGCGAAAGCUAGGGGAGCAAACAGG